rnacentral:misc_RNA from 1 species
CGCACAUUGCGCCCUUUGGUAUUCCUUAGGGCAUGCCUGUUCGAGCGUCAUUGAAACCCUCAAGCUCUGCUUGGUGUUGGGUGUCUGUCCUGCCCCUGGCAUGGACUCGCCUCAAAGACAUUGGCGGUUGUGUAUUGACCGGAAGCGCAGCAAAGACGCGCCACUCCUGGUUCAAUGCCUCUCUCCAGGAAGCCAUACUUCUAGCUUGACCUCGGAUCAGGUAGGGAUACCCGCUGAACUUAA